rnacentral:lncRNA from 1 species
CUCUCCUAUCAAACUCCAAAUAAUUCAUCCUUAAAAUAUGUUUCCAUGUGUGAUUGCCCCUUGUACCAAAACUUACAAUGCCAAAUUCAUAGCAGCAUCCAAAAAGGUGCUCCGGAAUAAAAAGAAAAUUAUUAUAAUGCAUUGCAUCAUUAUCCAAAAAAGAUAAGGGAAAUGGAUGUUUCCUCAUCUUCACUAAUUUGGUGCAUAGAAGACAGUACAUUAUAGACCACGGCUCUAUAAAUUCUCCCCAAGGGUUCAAUUUGUGGUGGUAAGUAACCAACAAAACCAUGAAUUCACAACCCAGUUUGAUGGGGUUAGUAGGUCCAUGACAAAUGAUGUUGUUGAAGGCCUAAUCAAAUAGUGAGUACCAAAUACCCCUACACUCCACUUCUCUAGAAGAAAGGAAAUAUCCCUAAGAUAAUUUAGAGAUCUACAUAAAAACCCACCUGUCAUCUACAAUGCUUUAAGUACACACUGUACAUUGAAAAGGACUUCGCCACUCAUAUUGUAAAUUUAAGUCCCAUAACCAAUCCCAAUAAUAAAUCUAUGCAUAUCAAAGGAAAAACUAAAGAAGAAAAAUUUAAAUAUUAUAUUAUAGGAAUCCUCAGAUUAUUGACGUACAUCAGCUUCCCAAUCUCUGUUUAUACUUGUUCCAAAUUGUUCACAAUGAGCAAUGUUACUUUAUUCUUUAGGACAUUGCCACUUCAAGAAAAAGAAAAAGAAAAAGAAAAGAAAAAAACCUCAGAACCACCAUCCUUGAGGCCUUAAGAGCAAAAUGUGCUUAAAUUUAAUGAGUAUGUCAUGCUAGCAUUCCAAGGAGAUCCUUCCCUACAAAAAAAAAAAGACUUUAAAUGACUCUGCCAUCAAGUCAUGAAAGAGAAUGGAGUAUAGGAUCAAAAAAUAAGCACAUAAUUUUGAAGGGCUGAAGACGCCAUUAAAUUUAUCCUUUCCACUGGUUUGUACAUAUUUACAUUAUUUGCCCCAAGUUUUGUAACCACCUCUAGAUAUGUUGGCACAAGACAAAUCUCUUCAGAGAUGAUCAUCCUUACACAAGAUAACAAAAAUAUAUGUCAAAUGAAUGAGAAAGAUGCAAUGGUCAGUCAAUGUUAUCCACCCUAAAAAUAUCAUGACUAAUGCCCUCAACCUACGAUAAUACUGCCCUCCCAGACUCUAUCAAGUCGUCUUGCAUGAAUAAGGGAAAAUGAUAGGAAAUCCACCUUCUUGUUAUCAACCCACCCUCCAUCAAUCAUAAAUUAUAAUAAUGUCAAUAUGAUGGUCAUGACAUGAUUUAUUAUGUUCAAAUCACCUUUUCUAUGUAGCUCUACAUUUCCGACACCAAUGGAACUCUCUACCUAUAAACAAACUUUGGUUACUUCUCUAUCUUUUGCUUAUGCCUUAUUCUUUAACUUCAGUUCUUAAAUCUAAUUUCACCAGGAAUUACUUCUUUCUUACUUCACAAUGUCAUCAGACAUUGGUUUCUCAUUUUUAGAUCCUCUGACUCCACUGAUUUCACUUAAGCAAUGAAUUAACAAUUCCAUCUCAAAUAUUUGUGCUUCCACCACAGACACUCACCCAAACUCUUUUAUGUUAUCAAGCCAUGUAUCCUAAAUUUUGAAGUGGUGUCUGCCCUAUUCAAAAUUUCCCAAAGAUAGUGUAUAAUCUUUAUAUACUAUUAUGAAUUCAACUUGCAAAAUGUACGAUAAUUUUAGAAGCUUCACCACAUGAAAGAUCCAUUGUCAAAAAGCAAGGUCCGCAAUCUCGGUACCCUAUCGGUUUCGGUACACCUUGUACCAAAAUAGAUCUCUAACUAUUUUUCUCAAUUUUUAUCUUGGUACGCCUCGAUACAGGUCGGUACGCCUCAGUACGGGGCUUGGACCGACUUGAAGUUAAGUUUCGUACUGGUUUCCUCCUAGUAUAGUAAUGGGGCAGUACGACAAACUAUAUCAAAAAGUAUAUAUCUGGCUUUUCUGGAUGUCAUAUUCCUUUUCUUUACUCCUUGAAUGAAAGAAAAUUUCCCAUGAGUCUACUGUUUCAUAAUAAUCUAUCAAAGUCUACUACUUGAUAGUAAUCAAACAAAGUCUUAAAAUUGUUCUAUUAUAUGAUUCUCAACUAAUUGUGUUUUUGAAUAGAAAUGGUAUAGGAAGUGAAGCAUGAAUAUUCUAUUAUCUCUCACCAUGUUUUUGAAUUUGAAGCUUACAUUUUCACCUCUUCUCAUAAGAGGUAUCAUUGACUUGAAUAUCCUUCUUAGCAUAAGUUACUUCAAAGCAUUCCACUCUACCAGCAUAUCUGACACACACACACACACACACACACACACACACAUAUAUAUAUGUAUGUAUAUGUGAAGGCUAUGUUAUGGCAAAAUAUAGCAAGAUUAUUGUAUGGUUUUGUUAAAGAAUUCCCCAAAAAUUACUAUGAUUUAUGUCAUGAAACACUUGUCCAAGAGUUUACUAACUUCUAGUUUCUAGUUAAUUACGACGAAAUCAUAAUUAAGUGUACAUCUUAGUCGAAAACAAUAUUACUAGAAACAUGUUAGCUUAGUUUCAAAUUUCUUAGGUCAUUUAACAAUAAGAAGACAAAUAGCAAAAGAGAUAUAAAAAUUAUCUACAUGACACAAGAAUUCAAGAAAAAAAUGUGGUAAGGCAGUAAUUAGGUAAUUAAUAUUGUACAAAUUAGAAUUGUCUGAUGAGGAUGUAAAUAUGAUGGAAACAUGGAGAAUUAAUGUAGAUGCACGACAAAUGUGAAGAGUAAAGAUUUAAAUUGGGGAUUUAAAUUGCAUUGAUAGAGGGAUUUUGUUAACCAUAGUAUUAGUGAUGAUUUAGUGAUGUAGAAUGAAGCCCUUAUAUUGGGAAAUGGUGGCACAAGAAUAUGAAUUGUUAGUGAUUAAAAACUUUAUGAAAACUCAUUGACACAACAUUACCCUUGGCAAUAGUCAACGGCAAAAUCUUCUUAAAGCCUUUUUUGCAAUGAUGGAUAAAGUAAGGCUUUCUUCUUACUUGGGAAAUUAAGAAAUCAAAGUACCCUAAUAACUUUUAUUGAUCUACAGAAGAUGUAUGAGACUCUAUUAUGCAAAUCACACAUAACGAUUUAUUGUUGAAGAAAUGUGUAGGGUAACAAUAUAGCUUUUACUAGGGGCUAGGCUUAAGUAAUUAUAUCUUUCAUAAUUGCUGAUGGAGCACUAGGAUUGAUCUUUCAAAGGUGGCUCUUAGUUCCAUAUUAUGUGAAGAUGUAAUGUUGAACAAUAAUAUUCUAGAACAUGUGAAGAUCAAAAUAAUUGUUUUAGUCAACUUACAAUACUCCAUUCAUUAUUUUCAUAUGAAUAUUCAUAUCACAUAUUUUACUAGACUGCAAUAAUCAUAUAAUAGUUAACAAAUAUCAUUUAAUUAGAUAAUUCCUAUUUCGUAGGCAAUUUUGUAACUUAAGGGCCUGUUAGGCAAAAUCCUACUGGAUUUGGCAGGAUAGGUGGA